ensembl:lncRNA
GUGGGGGCCAAGAGGAUGGUGCCAGACUCUUUUCGAUGUUUCCCAGCAACAGGAUGAGGAGCAAUGACCAUAAACUAAAACAGAAAAAGUUUCACCUCAACAGGACGGAAAGCUUAUACACACUGAGGGUGGCAGAGCACUGGGACAGGCUGCCCUGGGAGGUCACGGAGUCUCACCUGGACGCGUUCCUGUAUCACCUGCUCCAGGUGACCCUGCCUUGUUAGGGGGUUGGAUGGGAUCAUCUCCAGAGGUCCCUUCCAACCUUGACAAUUCUGUGAUUCUCCCAUUUUCCCGUCUUUUAUCCUGGUGCUCUGCUCCGUGUGUCUGACCGCCCCAUUCGCCCGUGGGCUGCGCUCUCUCCGCCUCCUCCCGUGCUAAUGGAGCCUCCCCGCUGCGCUGUCAGGGCUGACCAGCGCGUCCGGCACCGGCUCCGCACGGGCAGGGACAGCGCUUUGAUUGCUGAAGAUUGCUACGGAACGAGCGAGAAUUAUAGGCAUGGCACUUCUGUUUGACUAUUAUUAAUAACAUAGUGUCAUCUGUUAAUACCACAAUGCCGUGCUCCGCACAGCAGCGGAGUGCCCGUCUGCCUGUCCAUUGCUCUGGAUUGAAGGUGUAGGUUUGGAAACUGAGUAACACAGCAGGGAGACCACGCCAGCCUUUAGCCCUGAGGUUCUGCUGCAAACGUCAAAGCGCAAGGCCCAGAGUCCUGCUGUCUGCCUGACGCUUUGUGAAAGAUUUUCUGCCAUCCCCUGUGCUUGUAGAAUGUGCCAGUGACCUCGGGGGCUCCCAGAGGACCCAGUAGCCAAAGCCAGCUGCCUUUUGGCUGCUUAAGGUCUAGGAUUCACAAGCCCUCACACAAGCAGUUUAGUGUCAGAUGUGACCACUGGCUAAGGAACUUACAAUUUUGCUGGCUCUUGCACUGGAAGACAGAAUUUUCCUUCCUUGCUGUAUAUUUUCUUUGUGCUUCCCUCUCAGAGCUAAAGGAGAACUAGGUGUGUCCCAGCUUGGACAUCACGGAGAGUGAAAUCAAAGAUCUGUUUGAUUUUCCUGAUCCUUUCUGCAGAAUCCUGGCUGUACUUUCCCUUAACUGUGUCUUCGACAAACUGAACAGAAGGUGUGAAGUACAUGUGACUGGCAGGUGGCAUAUCAACGUUCAUGGUACUCACAAGAGAAUCUAUCUGACUUACAGUGGGCAUUGUUUGACUCCCUGGCUGAGUUAUAAAACAGAACCACGGGAAAAAGUAAAGUCUAAGAUUCCCCUGUAUGAAAAGGAGUCUGGGUCAUAUGUGUGCUUCCAGUUCUACCUGUCCUGCUUUGGAAUACCAUGCAACACUUCUCCAAAGACAAAAUGUAUGAGAGGAAAUACCAUCAAGCCAAGAUGUUUUUCCUCCAAUUCAUGUACUCCUACAUGUCCAUUCUUGUGUCUAAGGCCCCAUUUCAGUCACUGGUGCUAGCUGAAAUGUUUUAUGAGCUUUUAAAGUAGUGUUCUGUAAUGGUAUUCUUUCAAAUAAAGAAUACCAUUGUGAAAUUUCUGUCAUUUGGGUUGUGGAAGUGACAUCAGCUGUAUAACAAUGAUUCAUGUGAUCAUGGCCUGAUCCUUUCAGAAGAUCACCAUUGCUAACAAUGCUCUUCACAUGCAAAGAGUGGUAGGAUUUAGCCAGGGGCUGCAGCUUACCAAGAAGGGCUCUGGUGCCAGUGGUACUGAUUCCCUUCAGCAGGAAUCCCAGUUGCUUAAGUUCAACUGCAGUUAGAAGUGCUUCAUUCUCAGGAAAACAAACCUGAGAUGGAUAAACCAAAGCUCAGCCUCUAAAUUAUACUGUAGGGCCUUUUAUUUUAAGCCAGCUGGUGCUGAAGUGUGCUUUCCCCAGAAAGGCUGAGUUACUGUUCAUUGGUGUGACCAUUCAACCACUGAAGGUGCAGAAUCUCUUCAUUAAAUUAUGGCAAAUAAUGGGCCACAGGAUAAGACAGCACAACUGUGUAGCUGCUUCUGAGUCUUUCAGAAAUAAUGAUACUUCUUCACCUAAAAUGUCCAAUUAAUACCAAAUCAUGUCUGAAAAUGUAACAGUAACAAAAUAAUGUUUUCUUGGUGGAUGCAUAUGGUUUUCCUAACUACUGUUUAUAUGCUCCUAUCAAACUUGCUGGCACUUGUUCACACCCUCAACUACUUGUGCAGUUAUUAAAUAGCUGACAAAAGUGUAAAACUAUUAGCUAUUAGCUAAAUACAACUAUGUAAAAGUAAUAGUUACAUUAAUACAUUUUUAAUGAACAUUUUUUCCUAAAGCAGAAUAACAAAACCCAAAAUUGCUGUAUGGCUGCUGCACCUAGGAAAAAGUCAAGUUUAAUGAUAAAUCUGGCCUUAGAGAACCAGCCAGAAUGGAUAGAGUUUGAAUAGGAUUUAAAAACCCAACUGUGUGCAGAAAUUAGAGUUUUGCCCCUGAAUCAUAUGGAAUUACAGUGCUGGAUGCGUGUGCCAUGCCUACACAAUAAAGCCCAGAGGAAGCAGCUAUUUCUGUUGGUUUUAUUAAACCAACCAAGCAAUUUAAUUCUUUUGUUCAGGAGAGUUCUACUUCAUUGAUUAACAAAAGCAGGGAUAUAAUUUUUUCAGCCUUUUUGAAAAGCCUGAAAUGUCAAGCCUUUUAAAGCAGAUUAUUCUGCCUCUGUGCAGUGAAUACAGCCAGAGUAACCUUUUGUCUACAAUUAAAUAUUCUAGCAUAAAUAUAAAAGAAAAUCAGAGAUGGGAAAGAUUGACUCACGAGAGAUUGGAGAGGUAGAUUCGCACGGUGAUAGUGCAAG